UACGGGGGGAGCAAGCGUUGUUCGGAUUUACUGGGCGUAAAGGGCGCGUAGGCGGUGCAACAAGUCACUUGUGAAAUCUCCGGGCUUAACCCGGAGCGGCCAAGUGAUACUGUCGUGCUAGAGUGCGGAAGGGGCUACUGGAAUUCUCGGUGUAGCGGUGAAAUGCGUAGAUAUCGAGAGGAACACCUGCGGCGAAGGCGGGUAGCUGGGCCGACACUGACGCUGAGGCGCGAAAGCCAGGGGAGCGAACGGG
rnacentral:rRNA from 1 species